rnacentral:rRNA from 1 species
UACGUAGGGGGCAAGCGUUGUCCGGAAUCAUUGGGCGUAAAGAGCGUGUAGGCGGCCCGGUAAGUCCGCUGUGAAAGUCCAGGGCUCAACCCUGGGAUGCCGGUGGAUACUGUCGGGCUCGAGUCCGGAAGAGGAGUGUGGAAUUCCUGGUGUAGCGGUGGAAUGCGCAGAUAUCAGGAGGAACACCGAUGGCGAAGGCAGGUCACUGGGCCGCAACUGACGCUGAGGAGCGAAAGCAUGGGGAGCGAACAGG